rnacentral:rRNA from 1 species
AACGAACGCUGGCGGCGUGCCUAACACAUGCAAGUCGAGCGAGAAAGCCCGCAAGGGUGAGUAAAGCGGCGCACGGGUGCGUAACACGUGGGUAAUCUGCCCUAGAGUCUGGAAUAACUCGCCGAAAGGCGUGCUAAUGCCGGAUGAGACCACGGGAGCCUCGGCUCCUGCGGGAAAAGGUGGCCUCUGUAUACAAGCUAUCGCUCUAGGAUGAGCCCGCGGCCCAUCAGCUAGUUGGCGGGGUAAUGGCCCACCAAGGCAACGACGGGUAGCUGGUCUGAGAGGACGAUCAGCCACACUGGAACUGAGACACGGUCCAGACUCCUACGGGAGGCAGCAGUGGGGAAUCUUGCGCAAUGGGCGAAAGCCUGACGCAGCAACGCCGCGUGUGUGAUGAAGGUCUUCGGAUCGUAAAGCACUGUCGCGAGGGACGAAUAAGGGUCGGGUGAACAAUCCGGUCCGAUGACGGUACCUCGAGAGGAAGCACCGGCUAACUCUGUGCCAGCCGCCGCGGUAACAC